rnacentral:rRNA from 1 species
UUGACUAAAGUUUGAUCCUGGCUCACAUUGAACGCUGGCGGAAUGCUUUACACAUACAACUCGAACGGCAGCACGGGGGCAACCCUGGUGGCGAGUGGCGAACGGGUGAGUAAUACAUCGGAACGUGCCCAGUCGUGGGGGAUAACGUAGCGAAAGCUACGCUAAUACCGCAUACGAACUGAGGUUGAAAGCGGGGGCUCGCAAGACCUCGCGCGAUUGGAGCGGCCGAUGGCAGAUUAGGUAGUUGGUGGGGUAAAGGCUCACCAAGCCGACGAUCUGUAUCUGGUCUGAGAGGACGACCAUCCACACUGGGACUGAUACACGGCCCAGACUCCUACGGGAGGCAGCAGUGGGGAAUUUUGGGCAAUGGGCGCAAGCUUGACCCAAAUACCACACAUGGGUGACUAACGCCUACUGUAAAUCGAGCCAU